UUAAUAGUCAGUUCAUAGUAAUUUCGAACUGUAUGGUUCGCAGCUUCCCUGAAAAAAGCAACGCGUGCGUGGAUUCUGCCGAAGACCAAUCCAAAAAGAAGUGAAAAGUGAACAAAUAGCACAGUAAUUCGAAUUACUUUCUUCAAUUAGUGCACAUACAAUGAACGGUCAUCAUCGCAAGAGAAAGUGGCAAGCUGGGCGCGGUGAGGAUCUCACCCC